CGAUGACAGCUUUAAAGAUA
rnacentral:miRNA from 1 species